AGGGCGCACGGUGGAUGCCUUGGCACUAGGAGCCGAUGAAGGACGGGACUAACACCGAUAUGCUUUGGGGAGCUGUAAGUAAGCUAUGAUCCAGAGAUUUCCGAAUGGGGGAACCCAAUAUCUUUUAUAGGAUAUUACUUUUCAGUGAAUACAUAGCUGAUUAGAGGUAGACGCAGAGAACUGAAACAUCUUAGUACCUGCAGGAAGAGAAAGAAAAUUCGAUUCCCUGAGUAGCGGCGAGCGAAACGGGAAGAGCCCAAACCAACAAGCUUGCUUGUUGGGGUUGUAGGACUCCGAUAUGGUAGUCUGUUAGUAUAGUUGAAGGAUUUGGAAAAUUCCGCUAAAGAGGGUGAAAGCCCCGUAGACGAAAUGCUGACAACACCUAGGAGGAUCCUGAGUACGGCGGAACACGAGAAAUUCCGUCGGAAUCCGCGGGGACCAUCCCGCAAGGCUAAAUACUCCCUAGUGACCGAUAGUGAACCAGUACCGUGAGGGAAAGGUGAAAAGCACCCCGGAAGGGGAGUGAAAUAGAUCCUGAAACCGUGUGCCUACAACAAGUCAAAGCUCGUUAAUGAGUGAUGGCGUGCCUUUUGUAGAAUGAACCGGCGAGUUACGAUUGCAUGCGAGGUUAAGUCGAAGAGACGGAGCCGCAGCGAAAGCGAGUCUGAAUAGGGCGAAUGAGUAUGUAGUCGUAGACCCGAAACCAUGUGAUCUACCCAUGUCCAGGUUGAAGGUGCGGUAAAACGCACUGGAGGACCGAACCCACGUACGUUGAAAAGUGCGGGGAUGAGGUGUGGGUAGCGGAGAAAUUCCAAACGAACUUGGAGAUAGCUGGUUCUCUCCGAAAUAGCUUUAGGGCUAGCCUCGGAAUUGAGAAUGAUGGAGGUAGAGCACUGUUUGGACUAGGGGCCCAUCUCGGGUUACCGAAUUCAGAUAAACUCCGAAUGCCAUUCAUUUAUAUCCGGGAGUCAGACUGCGAGUGAUAAGAUCCGUAGUCGAAAGGGAAACAGCCCAGACCACCAGCUAAGGUCCCAAAAUAUAUGUUAAGUGGAAAAGGAUGUGGGGUUGCACAGACAACUAGGAUGUUGGCUUAGAAGCAGCCACCAUUUAAAGAGUGCGUAAUAGCUCACUAGUCGAGUGACCCUGCGCCGAAAAUGUACCGGGGCUAAACAUAUUACCGAAGCUGUGGACUACACCAUUAGGUGUAGUGGUAGGAGAGCGUUCUAAGGGCGUUGAAGGUCGAUCGUGAGGACGGCUGGAGCGCUUAGAAGUGAGAAUGCCGGUAUGAGUAGCGAAAGACAGGUGAGAAUCCUGUCCACCGUAUGACUAAGGUUUCCUGGGGAAGGCUCGUCCGCCCAGGGUUAGUCGGGACCUAAGCCGAGGCCGAUAGGCGUAGGCGAUGGACAACAGGUUGAUAUUCCUGUACCAGUUGUUUUUGUUUGAACAAUGGAGGGACGCAGUAGGCUAAGGAAUGCAUGCGAUUGGAAGUGCAUGUCCAAGCAAUGAGUCUUGAGUAGAGUUAAAUGCUUUACUCUUUAAGGACAAGUUGUGACGGGGAGCGAAAUAAUAGUAGCGAAGUUCCUGAUGUCACACUGCCAAGAAAAGCUUCUAGUGAGAAAACAACUGCCCGUACCGUAAACCGACACAGGUAGUCGAGGAGAGUAUCCUAAGGUGAGCGAGCGAACUCUCGUUAAGGAACUCGGCAAAAUGACCCCGUAACUUCGGGAGAAGGGGUGCUGACUUCGGUCAGCCGCAGUGAAUAGGCCCAAGCGACUGUUUAUCAAAAACACAGGUCUCUGCAAAAUCGUAAGAUGAAGUAUAGGGGCUGACGCCUGCCCGGUGCUGGAAGGUUAAGAGGAUGGGUUAGCUUCGGCGAAGCUCAGAAUUGAAGCCCCAGUAAACGGCGGCCGUAACUAUAACGGUCCUAAGGUAGCGAAAUUCCUUGUCAGGUAAGUUCUGACCCGCACGAAUGGCGUAAUGACUUGGGCACUGUCUCAACUGUAAAUCCGGCGAAGUUGUAGUGCGAGUGAAGAUGCUCGCUACCCGCGAUUGGACGGAAAGACCCCGUAGAGCUUUACUGUAGCUUAGCAUUGAGUUUUGGUAUUGUCUGUACAGGAUAGGUGGGAGACUAGGAAACCAGGGCGUCAGCCUUGGUGGAGUCAACCUUGGGAUACCACCCUGACAGUACUGAAAUUCUAACUGGCGGCCAUGAAUCUGGUCACAGGACAUUGUUAGGUGGGCAGUUUGACUGGGGCGGUCGCCUCCUAAAAAGUAACGGAGGCGCCCAAAGGUUCCCUCAGAACGGUCGGAAAUCGUUCGAAGAGUGCAAAGGCAGAAGGGAGCCUGACUGCGACACCCACAAGUGGAGCAGGGACGAAAGUCGGGCUUAGUGAUCCGGUGGUACCUCGUGGGAGGGCCAUCGCUCAACGGAUAAAAGCUACCUCGGGGAUAACAGGCUGAUCUCCCCCAAGAGUCCACAUCGACGGGGAGGUUUGGCACCUCGAUGUCGGCUCGUCUCAUCCUGGGGCUGAAGUAGGUCCCAAGGGUUGGGCUGUUCGCCCAUUAAAGAGGCACGCGAGCUGGGUUCAGAACGUCGUGAGACAGUUCGGUCCCUAUCCACCGCGGGCGUGAGAAAUUUGAGAGGAUCUGUCCUUAGUACGAGAGGACCGGGAUGGACAGACCGCUGGUGUACGAGUUGUACUGCCAAGUGCACAGCUCGGUAGCUACGUCUGGGAAGGAUAAGUGCUGAAGGCAUCUAAGCACGAAACCAACCUCGAGAUAAGAUUUCU
rnacentral:rRNA from 1 species